rnacentral:misc_RNA from 1 species
UUUUGAAAAAAAAAUUUCUGUAUUGAAAUAAUUUAUCUGUUACAACUGCAGCAAUGCAACUGCUAUCAUACGUAAGAGCAAUGUGGUAAACAAUUCAUUAGCCCCUUUUGUGCCCUCCUUUUCGUCAAGGGGACCUAAUCCUAUUACACCUGACAUUCUAAAGGUAAUUGAAAUGGACUAUUUUUAUUCACUUUGGCCUAUUAAUCUAUGGAUAAUCUUAUCAGAACCUUUCAAUGUGAAUGCAGCCAGAUAUAGCUGCCCCAGGAGUUGACAUUAUAGCCGCGUGGUCUCUAGCUUCUUCUGUAACCGGGCUUCAG